rnacentral:lncRNA from 1 species
AUGUACCUCAUGUUUUCUUCCAUAAUGCAACACAAACUGAAGAACUCUGAACCAUAAUCAUCAUGUCACGACAGUUCUCAUUGGACAGGAGGUUGAAUGUCCCGAUGUUGACAUGGAUACUAACACUGACGUGAUGUUAUAACACAUUAAAACAGAGCUGUACAAUAGGCUAAGAUCAGCUAAAUGUAAUGACAUUACUUCAUGUUUAGAACACAGGUUUCAAAAAAUAGUUUUUAAAAGUCAGUUAAAUUGACCUAAAGUUAAUCAGAGAAAUUUCAUUAAAACAAGACUUCAGAUUGUGGUGUUUUUUUGUCCAAAAGCAAACCACAACUCAAGGUUGGUAGUAGUAGUGCUAGCUAUAACCUGUAGCUGCUAAAUGUGUUGAUCUAGCUGUAACCUGUAGCUGCUAAAUGUGUUGAUCUAGCUGAAACCUGUAGCUGCUAAAUGUGUUGAUCUAGCUAUAACCUGUAGCUGCUAAAUGUGUUGAUCUAGCUGUAACCUGUAGCUGCUAAAUGUGUUGAUCUAGCUAUAACCUGUAGCUGCUAAAUGUGUUGAUCUAACUAUAACCUGUAGCUUCUAAAUGUGUUGAUCUAGCAGUAACCUGUAGCUGCUAAAUGUGUUGAUCUAGCUGAAACCUGUAGCUGCUAAAUGUGUUGAUCUAACUAUAACCUGUAGCUGCUAAAUGUGUUGAUCUAGCAGUAACCUGUAGCUGCUAAAUGUGUUGAUCUAGCUGAAACCUGUAGCUGCUAAAUGUGUUGAUCUAGCUAUAACCUGUAGCUGCUAAAUGUGUUGAUCUAGCUGUAACCUGUAGCUGCUAAAUGUGUUGAUCUAGCUAUAACCUGUAGCUGCUAAAUGUGUUGAUCUAGCUAUAACCUGUAGCUGCUAAAUGUGUUGAUCUAGCUAUAACCUGUAGCUAGUACUACAGUAAAUGUGCAAGUCCAGAGAUAACAUUACAUAUCCGAGUUGAGGACAGAGGAGUGAGGUUAGAGUGGCCUAUGUUAAGCCAUGAGUAGUCAUAUCCAGGGUCUAGGGGUCAGGGGUCCAGGCCAAGGUCUAGGGGAUCCAGGCCAAGGUCUAGGGGUCGGGGAUCCAGGCCAAGGUCUAGGGGUCGGGGAUCCAGGCCAAGGUCUAGGGGUCGGGGAUCCAGGGCAAGGUCCAGGAGUCGGGUGUCCAGGCCAAGGUCCAGGGGUUGGGGAUCCAGGUCAAGGUCUAGGGGUUGGGGAUCCAGGUCAAGGUCUAGGGGUUGGGGAUCCAGAUCAAGAUCUAGGGGUUGGGGAUCAAGGCCAAGGUCUAGGGGUUGGAGGUCCAGGCCAAGGGGGUCCAGGCCAAGAUCUAGGGGUCGGGAAUCCAGGCCAAGGUCUAGGGGUUGGCGGUCUGAGGGUCUGUUGGGCUAGGAG